UACGUAGGGUGCGAGCGUUAAUCGGAAUUACUGGGCGUAAAGCGUGCGUAGGCGGUUCGUUAAGUCAGCUGUGAAAGCCCCGGGCUCAACCUGGGAAUUGCGGUUGAAACUGGCGAACUAGAAUCUGGCAGAGGGGGGUGGAAUUCCACGUGUAGCAGUGAAAUGCGUAGAGAUGUGGAGGAACACCGAUGGCGAAGGCAGCCCCCUGGGCUGAGAUUGACGCUCAGGCACGAAAGCGUGGGGAGCAAACAGGG
rnacentral:rRNA from 1 species